AGGGGUAAUCUCAGUCAUACCUGAGGAUUCGGCGGACAGGGAAGAUGAGGGGGAGGAAGAGGAGAACGAGCUUGCAGAGAGUACACAGCACACCGUUCUUCUCAACAGCCAGGACCUUUUUCUCAGCCUGACGGAAUUACCCUCCCAUCCCUCCCAAUCCAGUAGCCCAGACAAUGAGGCCAUGGAAGGGACCUCUGCUGCAAAUUUUCAAUCCUCCCUACUCAUCCCAAGGCUAUCUCAGAUAGGCAGUGGAA